rnacentral:rRNA from 1 species
UACGUAGGUGGCAAGCGUUAUCCGGAUUUAUUGGGUUUAAAGGGUGCGCAGGCGGAUUUUUAAGUCAGCGGUCAAAUCGUGGGGCUCAACCCCAUCCAGCCGUUGAAACUGGCUGUCUUGAGAUGUCGAGAGGUAUGCGGAAUGCGCAGUGUAGCGGUGAAAUGCUUAGAUAUUGCGCAGAACUCCGAUUGCGAAGGCAGCAUACCGGCGGCGAUCUGACGCUGAGGCACGAAAGCGUGGGUAUCGAACAGG